AGGGAACGGGUAGAUGGUCGCCCCCGACUUCGUCAUUGUGAUGACGUCGGGGGAGGAAAGUCCGAACUCCACAGGGCAGGGCGCCUCGAGAAUAUCGAGGAACCGGAGGGGCGACCCCUCCGGGAUGGAAAGUGCCACAGAAAAUACACCGCCGAUGGUCCCGAUCGAAGAUUGGGAAACAGGCAAAGGUGAAAAGGUGCGGUAAGAGCGCACCGGGCCGAGAGUAAUCGAGGUCGCAUGGUAAACCCCGUUCGGAGCAAGGCCAAAUAGGGGUCGAGGUGUUGCCCGCACCGAUUGAGACCCGGGUAGGCCGCAUUGAGCCCAAGGGCAACCGAAGGCCGAGAUAGAUGAUCAUCGCCUCCUUAUAAUCCGGGGGACAGAAUUCGGCUUAUUCACGUUCCCUGCAU
rnacentral:RNase_P_RNA from 1 species